UAAUACGUAGGUGGCAAGCGUUACUCGGAAUUACUAGGCGUAAAGCGUAUGUAGGCGGUUAGAUAAGUCUAUGGUGAAAUCUCCCAGCUCAACUGGGAUAGGUCCAUAGAAACUGUCUAGCUUGAGUGUGGGAGGGGAAGAUGGAAUUCCUGGUGUAGCGGUGAAAUGCGUAGAUAUCAGGAGGAACACCGAUGGCGAAAGCGAUUUUCUGGCCCAAUACUGACGCUGAGAUACGAAAGCUAGGGGAGCAAACAGGAUUAGAUACCCUGGUAGUCCUAGCUGUAAACGAUGUUCACUAGAUGUGGGAGGUAUCGACCCCUUCCGCGUCGACGCUAACGCAUUAAGUGAACCGCCUGGGGAGUACGGUCGCAAGGCUG
rnacentral:rRNA from 1 species